ACAGCAUGUGGGAAGAGCACUUGAAGUCAAGAUCCCACCUUGAAGAGCGUGUUGCUCAGCUUGACAGAGAAAAGGCUGAACUCCUGGAACAGUGUGAGACUGAAAGAAAGAAAGUGAAGAAGCUGGUAGAGUUGAAACGCCCAGUCGAACUGCGUCUGGACCAAGAAAUGAAAAGAAACAUCGAACUGCAGAAAGACUGUAAGAGGUUGAAGAAGCUUCUGAGCAGAGCU